rnacentral:rRNA from 1 species
CCUAUCAGAGGGGGAUAACCCGGCGAAAGUCGGACUAAUACCGCAUGAAGCAGGGAUCCCGCAUGGGAAUAUUUGCUAAAGAUUCAUCGCUGAUAGAUAGGCAUGCGUUCCAUUAGGCAGUUGGCGGGGUAACGGCCCACCAAACCGACGAUGGAUAGGGGUUCUGAGAGGAAGGUCCCCCACAUUGGUACUGAGACACGGACCAA